AGCCUUUAGCAAAUAAAAUAUUAAAGGUCCCGCCUGCCCAGUGACCCUAUUUAAACGGCCGCGGUAUCCUAACCGUGCAAAGGUAGCGUAAUCAUUUGUUCUAUAAAUCAGGACUAGUAUGAACGGCGCCAUGAGGAUUGAUUUGUCUCUCGUGAUAAAUCUAUGAAACUGAUCUACCAGUACAAAAGCUGGAAUAAAACCACAAGACGAGAAGACCCUGUGGAGCUUAAGCCACACGUCACAGCAUGUUGACGCCAACGCUUCGGUUGGGGCGACUUUGGAGACAAACAAAACCUCCAACAUUCACACUAAAGGCCUCCAAGCCACUACACCCAUUUGACCCAAUACACUUGACUAAUGAACCAAGUUACCCCAGGGAUAACAGCGCAAUCUUCUUCUAGAGUCCCUAUCGACAAGAAGGUUUACGACCUCGAUGUUGGAUCAGGAUACCCAAAUAGUGCAGCCGCUAUUGACGGUUCGUUUGUUCAACGAUUAACAAUCCU
rnacentral:rRNA from 1 species